rnacentral:misc_RNA from 1 species
CUUGUCUAAAUCUAUCUCGGAUGCUGGCAGUGGAGGUGAUGGUGGAGAUGGAGGUAGGAGAAUCAACUGUAUACCUUCCCAAUUGGGAAGGCUGCGAAUCCAUACUCAAGGUUGGAAAACCAUCAAAGAGUGAAAUGAGCAAAUAAAACCCUAGGGAGAUCUGAGAAUUGAAUUUGACAGAUCUAAGAGAUAAGAGAAGAGAAAAUUAUUUGUGAAUUAUAUUAAUAAUAUAAUUAUUUAAAAAAAAUGAGAAGGAU